UAGCGGCGAGUGAAGCGGCAAGAGCUCAAAUUUGAAAUCUGGUACCUUCGGUGCCCGAGUUGUAAUUUGAAGAAAGCUAUCUUGGAUUUGGCCUUUGUCUAUGUUCCUUGGAACAGGACGUCACAGAGGGUGAGAAUCCCGUGCGAUGAGGUGUCCAUUUCUAUGUAAGAUGUUUUCGAAGAGUCGAGUUGUUUGGGAAUGCAGCUCUAAGUGGGUGGUAAAUUCCAUCUAAAGCUAAAUAUUGGCGAGAGACCGAUAGCGAACAAGUACAGUGAUGGAAAGAUGAAAAGAACUUUGAAAAGAGAGUGAAAAAGUACGUGAAAUUGUUGAAAGGGAAGGGUAUUAGAUCAGACUUGGUAUUUAGUUAUCAUUACUCCUUGUGGGUGGUGCUCUAGCUUUUUACUGGGCCAGCAUCAGUUUUGGUGACAGGAUAAUAGCAAUUGAAUGUGGCUCUUCGGAGUGUUAUAGCUUUUGUUGAUACUGUCUACUGGGACUGAGGUCUGCGGCUUUGCCUAGGAUGCUGGCGUAAUGAUCCAAUACCGCCCGUCUUGAAACACGGACCA
rnacentral:rRNA from 1 species